rnacentral:rRNA from 1 species
AUUGAACGCUGGCGGCAUGCCUUACACAUGCAAGUCGAACGGUAACAGGUCUUCGGAUGCUGACGAGUGGCGAACGGGUGAGUAAUACAUCGGAACGUGCCCAGACGUGGGGGAUAACGAGGCGAAAGCUUUGCUAAUACCGCAUACGAUCUAAGGAUGAAAGCAGGGGACCGCAAGGCCUUGUGCGUUUGGAGCGGCCGAUGGCAGAUUAGGUAGUUGGUGGGAUAAAAGCUUACCAAGCCGACGAUCUGUAGCUGGUCUGAGAGGACGACCAGCCACACUGGGACUGAGACACGGCCCAGACUCCUACGGGAGGCAGCAGUGGGGAAUUUUGGACAAUGGGCGAAAGCCUGAUCCAGCAAUGCCGCGUGCAGGAUGAAGGCCUUCGGGUUGUAAACUGCUUUUGUACGGAACGAAAAGGCUCUGGCUAAUACCUGGGGCACAUGACGGUACCGUAAGAAUAAACACCGGCUAACUACGU